CAACGCUUGAACUCGUGACUUCGUGCACUUCAAUUCUAGUCAAACGGACGCUUUCUCCAACCAGUGAAUUCGCUUUCUCCAACUUGCCAUCGCGAGAUGACCGAGUUACAAGGCCACACACCACUACAGGUCACUCAAGGAUAACACACCGACGUCAACGUCUACUCCUGCUUCCGCUAUCAUUCGGCGUUCUUUCGAUACCUCCUAUCAUCAGCCUAUAGUCGUUUUACGAAGAUGUACAACCAAAAGGAAGAAGAAGAAAAGAGAAAAAGAAGAUAUGUGUGUGUUCGAAGGAGCAAGGAAGAAAAAAUGCGUCUGUAGAGGAAGAAAACGAUUCCACGUCGAUCAAACGUUCUCCAGCCGAACAAUUACACGUCGCUGCCUUCCCGAGCGCGCAACAUUUUCGAAAGGAAAAGUGACAAAAACUUGGUUUGAGUGAAAAUCGUAGCACGAGUUCCACUCGCAUCGACCUGUGACUCCCGCCGAUAAUUUCCAGACAAACAAGGUAGUCGCGAGAUAUCGAACCUUCCAUGCGCGGAGGACCGGUCUUACGAAGGAGAAACAUCCCGAUCGGCGCCGGAAGCGGAAUAACAGCUUGCGCGCGCACAGUAGAGAGAUACUGCAAGACAAUAAAUAAAAGGUACACAGAUUCAUCUUUCCACGAAGUAUCACUUUGACGAAUGCUCGACCGAAAUGAUAUAUGCCUUGGCACGGGUAUCUCGUUACAGUUAUAAAAUCGUUAGGAUGACAUAACGAUGCAUAAAACUCACAUAAUAAUCACGUAUGAAUAUCUUGAUAUACAUAUAUAGUAUUCACACAAUGACUGCGGGAAUUAUAUCGCAUUUGAAUGAUACUAUAGAUUAUAGCUAUAGAUACAAAUGUAUCUACUUUCUUCACUUAUUAAAGAUUUUUUUUUUUUCGUUUU